rnacentral:lncRNA from 1 species
GAGCACUUGUGGUCUCAGCUACUCGGGAGGCUGAGGCAGGAAGAUCGCUUGAGCCCAGAAGGUCGCUGCUGCAGUAAACCGUGAUCACGUCACAGCACUCCAGCCUGGGCUACAAAAAAAAAGAAAAAGGGCCGGGUGCGGUGGCUCACGCCUGUAAUCUCAACAUUUUGGGAGGCCGAGGCAGGUGUAUCACUUGAAGUCGGUAAUUCGAGACCAGCCUGGCCAACAUGGAGGAACCCCGUCUCUACUAAAGAGGAAAUUACGCAUGGUGGCGCAAGCCUGUAAUCCCAGCUACUCCGGAGGCUGAGAGGCAGGAGAAUCGCUUGAUUCUCGAGUUACAGUGAGCCGAGAUCGGGCGAUUGCCCUCCAGCCUGGGCAACAAGAGCGAAACAACGUCUCAAAAAAAAAAAAAAAGAAAAGGGAAAAAAGAAAAAGGGGCCUCCAGAAGGAAGUCAUCUGCUCCCUGCUGUGGAGGCUGCAUCUAACGCUUGUACCGGGGCAGUCAUAUGACAAGUAAGCGAUGUCAGGGCAGGCUCAGGCAUUCUAGAAGAGAGGAAGAAAAGAAGGCAACAGGAACUAGGAGAGAGAAGGACGUGGACAGGAGGAGGUGUUUGACUAGAAGUGCGUCCAACCAGGCCGGGCACAGUGGCUUACGCCUGUAAUCCCAGCACUUUGAGAGGCCGAGGCGGGCGGAUCACCUGAGGUCAGGAGUUCGGGACCAGCCUGGCCAACAUGGUGAAACCCCGUCUACUAAAAAUACAAAAAUUAGCUGGGCGUGGUGGUGCACGCCUGUAGUCCCAGCUACUCGGGAGGCUGAAGCACGAGAAUCGCUUGAACCUGGGAGGCGCAGGUUGCAGUGAGCCAAGAUCGCGCCAUUGCAUUGCAGCCUGGGUGACAGAGCGAGACUCUGUCUCAAAAAAAAAAAAAAAAAAAAAAGGUCCAACGGCUCUCCAUUGCCCCCAAACAUCCCUCACGUGACAACAGUGCCACAAGUUUCCCUGCCCCUGGGUCUGCAGCCAAUUUUAUUUUAUCAGUUGAGAAUCAUGUCAGAAAAUUAAAUACUCAAAAGAAAUCUCAAGAUUUCCCAGCUCUGAGGUUCUGACAGCUGAACUUGGCC